CCCUUAGAUGUCCUGGGCUGCACGCGCGCUACACUGACGAACUCAACGAGCUUAUCACCUUGGCAGAGAUGUCUGGGUAAUCUUUUGAAAGUUCGUCGUGCUGGGGAUAGAUGAUUGUAAUUAUUCGUCUUGAACGAGGAAUUCCUAGUAAGCGCGAGUCAUCAGCUCGCGUUGACUACGUCCCUGCCCUUUGUACACACCGCCCGUCGCUCCUACCGAUUGAAUGGUCCGGUGAAGUGUUCGGAUCGCGCCGACGUGGGCGGUUCGCCGCCGGCGACGUCGCGAGAAGUCCACUGAACCUUAUCAUUUAGAGGAAGGAGAAGUCGUAACA
rnacentral:rRNA from 1 species